rfam:Picea glauca, whole genome shotgun sequence.
AUAACGGUGUCUUUAGACACCACCUUUUCUAUCUUUGAAAUCUUAG